AACUUUUAGCAACGGAUCACUUGGUUCUGGCAUCGAUGAAGAACGCAGCGAAAUGCGAUAAGUAAUGCGAAUUGCAGAAUUCCAGUGAGUAAUCGAAUCUUUGAAGCCACAUUGCGCCCUUUGGUUUCCCAAAGGUCAUGCCUGUUCGGGCUUCAUUAUCUUCCCUCAAGCCCCUGGGUUGGGGGUGGACGGUUUGGUCGAGGUCCCCUCGGGGGCUUCUGCCCCUUACAAAGACAAUGACGGCGGCCUCGUUGGGCCCCAGGUACACCGAGUUCUUAACGGGACACGUAUCGGACACAUGGGUUUACGGGAGACGGUCUGCCUCCCCUCAGGGAGAAUCUUGAUCAGGUUGACCUCGGAUCAGGUAGGGAUACCCGCUGAACUUAAGCAUAUCAAUAAGCGGAGGCU
rnacentral:misc_RNA from 1 species